UGAGGAAUAUUGGGCAAUGCCCGAAAGAGUGACCCAGCAACGCCGCGUGGAGGAUGAAGGUCGUAAGAUUGUAAACUCCUGUUAGAGGGGAAGAAUAACUAAGUUUGGAGCUUAGUAUGACUGUACCCUCAGAGAAAGCCCCGGCUAACUACGUGCCAGCAGCCGCGGUAAUACGUAGGGGGCAAGCGUUGUCCGGAUUUACUGGGUGUAAAGGGCGCGCAGGCGGAAUGGAAAGUCAGUGGUGAAAUCCUACAGCUUAACUGUAGAACUGCCUUUGAUACUUUUAUUCUUGAGUUCGGGAGAGAGAGACGGAAUUCCAGGUGUAGUUGUGAAAUACGUAGAUAUCUGGAAGAACACCAGUUGCGAAGGCGGUCUCUUGGUCCGACACUGACGCUGAGGCGCGAAAGCGUGGGGAGCAAACA
rnacentral:rRNA from 1 species